rnacentral:rRNA from 1 species
UACGAACCGUGCGAACGUUGUUCGGAUUCACUGGGCUUAAAGGGCGCGUAGGCGGCUUGCCAAGUCAGGGGUGAAAUCUUUCGGCUCAACCGGGAAAGUGCCUUUGAUACUGGCGAGCUAGAGGGAGGUAGGGGUGCGUGGAACUUCUGGUGGAGCGGUGAAAUGCGUAGAUAUCAGAAGGAACGCCGGUGGCGAAAGCGACGCACUGGAUCUCUACUGACGCUGAGGCGCGAAAGCUAGGGGAGCGAACGGG